rnacentral:rRNA from 1 species
CUACGGGUGGCACCAGCUGAGGAUCUUUUACAAUGCACGCAAGUGUGAUAAAGCGAGCCAGAGUGUUGUUCUUAGAACAACUUUUGUUUACUGUAAAAAGGCAGACGAAUAAGGACUGGGUAAGACCGGUGCCAGCCGCCGCGGUAAUACCGGCGGUCCAAGUUGCAUCCAUUUUUAUUAGGUCUAAAACAUCCGUAGCUUGUUUUGUAAGUUUCUUGUGAAAUCUUAUGUCUCAAACAUGAGGCUUGCAAGAAAUACUGCAUUGCUAGAGACCGGAAGACGUAAGGAGUAUGAUUGAGGUAGCGGUAAAAUGCGUUAAUCUUAAUCAGACUAACAAUGGCGAAGGCACCUUACGAGUACGGAUCUGACAGUGAGGGAUGAAGGCUAGGGGCGCAAAACGGAUUAGAUACCCGGGUAGUC